UUUUAUGGCGGCUAUGUACGGGCGGACUUUGUCCGGCCGGGUUGGUUUCCUUACCGGUAAUCUCACUCCGUACAUAGUUGCCACCUCA
rnacentral:antisense_RNA from 1 species